rnacentral:rRNA from 1 species
CCCGCUGAACUUAAGCAUAUUAAUAAGCGGAGGAAAAGAAACUAACUAGGAUUCCUAUAGUAAUGGCGAACGAAGUAGGAAAAGCUCAAUGUUGGAAUCCUUCGGGAAUUGUAGUUUAUCGAAGUGUUUUUAAGGGUGUGCAAGUGGUGAAAAGUUCCUUGGAAAAGGACAUGAUACAGGGUGACAAUCCCGUAUUUGCCAGUUGUAGAUCAGUAUUAGACACUUUUGGAGAGUCGAGUUGUUUGGGAAUGCAGCUCAAAGGGGGUGGUAGGCAUCAUCUAAAGCUAAAUAUAGACACGAGACCGAUAGCGAACAAGUACCGUGAGGGAAAGAUGAAAAGCACUUUGGAAAGAGGGUUCAAGGAGGACGUGAAACCGUUGAUAGGGUAAGCGGAAGGUUCCUAAGGGUGAAUGGUGGUGCGAAAAUCUCAUUUUGAUUCUAAUCAAUUUCUUAUCAGAUGAACGCAAGUCUUUUGGUUUGAUUUCCUGGUUGGUUUUGGAGUAGUACUUUUCGUAUCAUCUACGAGUCGGGUUUUGAGCUUUAUUGGUCGGUUUAGCGAGGUGGUCAGUUCGUCUGAUGUUAUACGCUUUGUCUUCUUGUAAUGGCUUGGAAUUCUUCAUAUUUUGGUCUUUGUUUCAGGGUGUAGUGCCAUUUGAGGGGUAGGGUUUUGUAAGCUAAUUUCGGUUAGAUUACAGGAUCUUUGUAUCUUUCGUGGUGUUGCACUCUGUGUUUACCAAUUGACUCGAUUAGUUCUUCAACUAGUGCACCCAACCUACCGACCCGUCUUGAAACACGG